UUUCCAGCUGGCUGAGAAUUUUCUGGAUUGC
rnacentral:piRNA from 2 species